rnacentral:rRNA from 1 species
UACGUAGGUGGCAAGCGUUGUCCGGAAUUAUUGGGCGUAAAGCGCGCGCAGGCGGUCCUUUAAGUCUGAUGUGAAAGCCCACGGCUCAACCGUGGAGGGUCAUUGGAAACUGGGGACUUGAGUGCAGAAGAGGAAAGCGGAAUUCCACGGUGUAGCGGUGAAAUGCGUAGAGAUGUGGAGGAACACCAGUGGCGAAGGCGGCCACCUGGACGGAUACUGACGCUGAGACGCGAAAGCGUGGGGAGCAAACAGG